AUUGAACGCUGGCGGCAGGCCUAACACAUGCAAGUCGAACGAGUGGCGGACGGGUGAGUAACGUCUGGGAAACCGCCCGAUGGAGGGGGAUAACUACUGGAAACGGUAGCUAAUACCGCAUACUAUUGGAUGUGCUCAGAUGGGCUUAGCUAGUGGGGGGGGUAACGGCGCACCAAGGCUACGAUCCCUAGCUGGGCUGAGAGGAUGACCAGCCACACUGGAACUGAGACACGGUCCAGACUCCUACGGGAGGCAGCAGUGGGGAAUAUUGCACAAUGGGCGCAAGCCUGAUGCAGCCAUGCCGCGUGUAUGAAGAAGGCCUUCGGGUUGUAAAGUACUUUCAGCGAGGAGGCGUUACUCGCAGAAGAAGCACCGGCUAACUCCGUGCCAGAAGCCGCGGUAAUUC
rnacentral:rRNA from 1 species